rnacentral:lncRNA from 1 species
CCUGGACUGCCCAGGCAGAGUCACACUGUUGGAAUGGAAAUGGUUUCCUUACAACCUCUGACUGUUAAAUGACUUAUGUUUUGUCAGAAUGGCGAGGUCUCCACACGUCAUCACCCUGCUCUCCCUACCCUCCCAGCCAAUUUCCCACACGUAUGAGCCAGACUUGCCCGCAAUGUCUAUUUUGAAGACAGUUUGCCCCUGCAAGAAAACUCAUGGUUUGCAGAUCACAGAUCAGGACAGGGGAGGAAAAUAGAGUUCUGAUCUCUUUGUUUCUAUUUCGGUCCAUUCUGCCAAGUUGAAGCAGACUGAUUUUCAUUUGUCUUAAAUCCAAGAGGGGGGAAAAUCCUCUCAAACCAAACACCAUCACAAAUGUACCCCUAAGGAAUAAUGAAUUACCUUUUUAGGCAAAGAAAGGCCCAAGGAAUCAUAGCCAAGGCUGGGGUGGGUGAAGAAGGCAGGGAAUGAAUUUUGUUGACUGAGUAAACGUUUGGGCCUUGAGCUCAAAAGCCAGGACAGAAGCAUCGAGCUCUGGGUGCCCAGGUCGGCACUGUCCCCACUGAGCUGUGCUGCCUGCUUUCUCUGGAAACCUAGGCAGACAAACAAUCUUCAUUCUGCACUGUCUCUCUGGGACUGUCUGAGGCUUUGCCACCACACUGGGGUCACCCCCACCCCAGCACUUCCUCUGCCUCUGGUAAGAGGAGGUAAGAGGUAGGUGGCCGCCAGAGGGUGGUCAGGGCGUGGCUGAAGCAGCCCCUCUAUCAGAGUGCAGAGUCUGGAGUCCAGACCCAUCCUGGCCAGCACAGAAGCAGGGAGAGAGAGAGGCAAAAGGAGCCAGCCUGUUUCCAUAGAUACGGAUUUCAGUUGCAUUUUCUGACAACCAUGCCAGGCUGCCUGGAGAGCAUUGUUUGGAUGCCUGGGGACCCACUCAGAAGGAAAAUGAAGCACACAGUGGCUGCUCAGCAAAAGUCUGUGGUGGAAAGGAAGGGAAAAGUUGCACGUUGGAUCCUGGGUAUCUCGUUUCCUGGUGUCGUCGGAGUUUCAAAGUCGUGCGGGUGAACAAACCAUAUGUGGAUAAAUCAUCAAGAGAAAAAAAUUCUAUUUUCCAACAGUUUUUGUCCUCGCCUGCCCACUGCUUCAGCCUCUCUGGCCUCCCUGCUACUGUGAGACUUGGCCACAGGACAUUGUCCUUCCCCCUACGCCCACACGGCUCCCUCUCUCCCUCUGCUUCUUUAGUCUGCUCAAGCCUCACCUUCUCAGCAAGAUGUGCAUGAGCACCACUCCCUGUACCCACCAUACUUUUCCACUUUUGGUUACACCUUCUAAGCUAUUAUACAAUUCACUGGAUUAUUGUGUCUAAUGAGAAUCAUUGGCCUCCCCUCCUAGACUCUAAGCGCUGCUCUAGCAGGGAGAUUUGUUUUAUUCACUGAUGGUCCCAAACACCUCAAAGGGAAGGAGCUCAACAAACGCUUGUUGAAGGAAUCUCCAAGCAUUGCCACUACAUCAGAGCCAGGCCUGAGAUACUCAGAGAAGUGAC